rnacentral:rRNA from 1 species
CAAGUCCGAGCGGGUAGCACAGAGAGCUUGCUCUCGGGUGACGAGCGGCGGACGGGUGAGUAAUGUCUGGGAAACUGCCUGAUGGAGGGGGAUAACUACUGGAAACGGUAGCUAAUACCGCAUAACGUCGCAAGACCAAAGUGGGGGACCUUCGGGCCUCAUGCCAUCAGAUGUGCCCAGAUGGGAUUAGCUAGUAGGUGGGGUAACGGCUCACCUAGGCGACGAUCCCUAGCUGGUCUGAGAGGAUGACCAGCCACACUGGAACUGAGACACGGUCCAGACUCCUACGGGAGGCAGCAGUGGGGAAUAUUGCACAAUGGGCGCAAGCCUGAUGCAGCCAUGCCGCGUGUGUGAAGAAGGCCUUCGGGUUGUAAAGCACUUUCAGCGGGGAGGAAGGCGGUGAGGUUAAUAACCUCGUCGAUUGACGUUACCCGCAGAAGAAGCACCGGCUAACUCCGUGCCAGCAGCCGCGGUAAUACGGAGGGUGCAAGCGUUAAUCGGAAUUACUGGGCGUAAAGCGCACGCAGGCGGUCUGUCAAGUCGGAUGUGAAAUCCCCGGGCUCAACCUGGGAACUGCAUUCGAAACUGGCGGGCUAGAGUCUUGUAGAGGGGGGUAGAAUUCCAGGUGUAGCGGUGAAAUGCGUACAGAUCUGGAGGAAUACCGGUGGCGAAGGCGGCCCCCUGGACAAAGACUGACGCUCAGGUGCGAAAGCGUGGGGAGCAAACAGGAAUAAGAUACCCUGGUAGUCCACGCCCUAGACAAUUUCCAUUUGGAGGUUGUGCCCUUGAGGCGUGGCUUCCGGAGCUAACGCGUUAAAU